rnacentral:rRNA from 1 species
CCUACGGGAGGCUGCAGUGGGGAAUAUUGCACAAUGGGCGAAAGCCUGAUGCAGCAACGCCGCGUGGGGGAUGACGGCCUUCGGGUUGUAAACCCCUUUUAGUAGGGAAGAAGGACUUCGGUUUGACGGUACCUGCAGAAAAAGCACCGGCUAACUACGUGCCAGCAGCCGCGGUAAUACGUAGGGUGCAAGCGUUGUCCGGAAUUAUUGGGCGUAAAGAGCUCGUAGGCGGUUUGUCGCGUCUGCUGUGAAAACCCGAGGCUCAACCUCGGGCCUGCAGUGGGUACGGGCAGACUAGAGUGCGGUAGGGGAGAAUGGAAUUCCUGGUGUAGCGGUGGAAUGCGCAGAUAUCAGGAGGAACACCGAUGGCGAAGGCAGUUCUCUGGGCCGUUACUGACGCUGAGGAGCGAAAGCGUGGGGAGCGAACAGGAUUAGAUACCCGUGUAGUC